AAAAGGGAAGGCGAGCCACCUCCGCCCUCCCCUCGCCCCCGCGCUGGUCCCACCGCCGAGCCUAGUUCCCCUCACUUCUCCGUGCAGGCGCCGUCACCAUCAAUCGAUCUCCUGAGCAAGCGACCUCCCUCCCCGAUCUACUCGUUGGCUAUGGCGGACGAGCCGGAGGGGCGAGGGGCGGGGGAGCGUGGACGCCAACUGGCGCCCCACCCAAGACUCAGAUCCCGCCACCGCAGCCGCCGGAGGCGGGGUUGACCCGAACGCACCGGCGCCCCACCGCCGGAGGCGACUGGCGCUCCGGGCUCCAUCCCGACGCCCGCGCCAGGAUCGUCAGUAAGAUAUCCAGUCGCACUCCUCAUCCAGCUCCAUGUCUCCUGGUGCGGCAGCACAGUGGGAGGAUGUGAACGCGCGGCCGCCCAGGGGUGGUGGUGGUGGUGACCUGCCUGCUCGUCCCUCGUCCUCAUCACCGGCCUCUCCGAGGUCGCUGCUAGGGCAAUCUCCAUGGGCCCUUGAGGAUGGAGUAGGACGAUGAGCAGCAGCAAAUGAGCCUGAUGGUGAAGAAGCACCUGAUGACCAGAACUCAUUCAAGAGCUCUUUUGUCCUUCCAAAACAGGGUCUUGAUGUCCCCCUUACAGAAAAAUGAUGCUGCGCUCGCUACUUACAUGUUUUCUGAUGCCGCAACAAAGGACUAUAUGUGGUUUCUUCAGUGGGACUGUUGCUAUCACUCCUCAUGUUCAAUAACAUUUCAGCAUUGGACCUGCUAGUCACCCAAGCCAAGCCUCGCAUCGCUUCAACAAAGCGAUACUUCUUCCAAUCAACCCCUACUUCGGCUCUGGUCUUUUUUCCAUCUUCUCUUAUUUAAGCUAAGAAAGAUUCUGAGUUUGCAUCCAUCUCAUUACACUAGCUAGAACAAUAUAUUAGUUAAGGCAACUCUACUACAUAUCAAUUUCCCCUACUGGAUUGGUUCUAUAUUUUUAAAGUUCUUUCGUGGUGCAUGAGCCCAACCUAAAGAAAUAUAGGCUUAUGAUGACUAUUUUCCUUCUUAAGUAAUCAUAGUUGUUGGCUUCGGUAGCUUGCUGAAUAUGCUUUAGUUAUAUAUAGAAAUGACGUGCCUUCUAUGCUUAAAUGAUUAUUUGGCUCUAUAUAAUUGUUGACAUGAAUAUCUUGACUUCCCAAACAAGUAUAGGACUGUACCUAUGCAUACAGAUUGUCCUAACAAAACUGAAAAUAAAAAUUGAAGCAUGAAAUAAGCAAUAAGUGGCUGAUUUUUAUUUGCAUGUUAAGCAGAAAGUUGUAGCCAAGGCUUAUAUAUUACGAAAUAUUGUCACACCUCUGAGCUUCUACUGUUGUUAGGGACAUCGUAGUGUGAUCUUCAUCAUUUUUCGCUUGAAGAUGUACUGAUUCAUUAGUCAAGCAGAGACCGAAGUCAUCUUUUGCUACUGCUAGCUCUAUGGAUGUUUAUUUACCUGCAACUUCUGCCAGCACUAACUUGGUUAUAUAGCAGUUCAAUUCAGUCAACCUGUUGGAACUAGUUUGUUGAUUACUUGUAUCCAGAUUUUAUAUCCUGCCCUAUGCCAUUGUCGACUUGCUUAGGUACAUAAUUGUUAUGUCUUGCAAUCUGGUAUUGAUGAUUGUCAAUGUAUUCAUUUAUACCUUUCUAGUGUACCUUGUAUGUUACCCAGCUGAUCUGUAUAUCAAUGCUCUGUUUCCAAUAGAUGUAUGCUGAUGCCUGAUGGCUGAUUUCUUAAAACUUCACUGUUGCAGUAGCAUUUUUCCUUAGUGCAUAGAUGUAUGAGCGACCAUUUAUGCUUGAAACCUUGCUCUCUUUCCCAGGAACCAUCGUGGUCUGCGUCACUACUGGGGCAGGAGAGGAAAGACUGUUGGUGUCUCCAGGAAGCGAUAAACUGCUUCACAAAGAUCCCCGCAUAGCUUCACUACUACUGUGUUGGUCCAUUUCCAGAAUCGUAAGGAGUGUUCUUGUUUAUACGAUUACCUUGGAUGAUGCUUUUGCUUAAGGAGAGGCUCAAGAAGAUCAAGGAGCUCCGCAUCCGAGUUUCAGCCAUCCUCUACAGCAAGGAGCUCUGGGCCAAAGGAGCAAGCAGCGCUGCUAGUUCCUUAAUGCCAGAUCGAGUAAGAUGGUGCACCAUGGCGUGUGGUGGCGUAUUUUGCUUCCGAGAACAGUACUGUUUAUUUGAAGUGAGAUGUACUCGUCUAGUGCCUGGCAAAAAAAUGAAGGAUGAAGUGUCAUGUACUGUCUAUGUUGUAGUGAGCUGUAGUAGGAGUGAAAUGAAAAUGUAUCUGCUGUUGUAUGUGCCAUUUCGCUGUAAUGUAUUGUGUACAUUUUACUUGAACAUUAACUUCUCCAGAAAAAAUGUUCUUACUGGAC